rnacentral:rRNA from 1 species
GGCGGUAAAUUUGUGUUUAGAGGAGCUUGCUUAAUAAUUGACUUUACUCAUUAUAUUUAGCUUUAUUAGGUUUGUUUAUCUCCGUUAUUAGGAUAUGUAUUUAAAGUAAUUUAUUAAUUAGAUUUCAGGUCAAGAUGUAGCUUAAUAAAGUUAAGGUGAGCUACAUUUUAAAAUAAGUGGCUUAUAUAUUUUAAUUAUAUAUAUAAAAAUGGAUUUAGAAGUAAUAUUUUUUAGGAUUAAAAAAUGAAUUGGUAAGAAUUUAUGUACACAUC